rnacentral:rRNA from 1 species
CAAUAGCGUAUAUUAAAGUUGUUGCAGUUAAAAAGCUCGUAGUUGGAUUUCUGCUAAGGACGAUCGGUCCGCCCACUGGGUGAGUAUCUGGCUCGGCCUUGGCAUCUUCUUGGAGAACGUUGCUGCACUUGACUGUGUGGCGCGGUAUCCAGGACUUUUACUUUGAGGAAAUUAGAGUGUUUCAAGCAGGCGCACGCCUUGAAUACAUUAGCAUGGAAUAAUGAGAUAGGACCUUGGUUCUAUUUUGUUGGUUUCUAGAGCUGAGGUAAUGAUUAAUAGGGAUAGUUGGGGGCAUUCGUAUUUAACUGUCAGAGGUGAAAUUCUUGGAUUUGUUAAAGAUGGACUACUGCGAAAGCAUUUGCCAAGGAUGUUUUCAUUGA